rnacentral:rRNA from 1 species
CACCCCAACAGCUAGCCCAACCAAACAAACCAACAAACCCCAUUAAUAACCCCACAAACAAAACACCACCCCACAACAAACCAUUUUUCCCCCCAAGUAUGGGAGACAGAAAAGGGCCUAGGCGCUAUAGAAAAGUACCGCAAGGGAAAGCUGAAAGAGAACUGAAACAACCCAGUAAAGAGUAAAAAAGCAGAGAUUCAUACUCGUACCUUUUGCAUCAUGACUUAGCAAGCACCUUCAAGCAAAGAGACCUAUAUGUUUGAAACCCCGAAACUAAGCGAGCUACUCCAAGACAGCCUAUUAUAGGGCAAACCCGUCUCUGUUGCAAAAGAGUGGGAAGAGCUUCGAGUAGAGGUGAUAAACCUACCGAGCUUAGUGAUAGCUGGUUGCCUGAGAAUUGAAUAGAAGUUCAACCUUUUGAAUUUUUUCCACCAAAUUAGGACCCCUUGCCCUGGCAAGAAGAAUAUCAAAAGAGCUAUUCGUGAGAGGGACAGCUCUCUCGAACCAAGACACAACUUUUUCAGGAGGUUAAAGACUAGACUAAAUAAGGCACAGUACCCAGGUAGGCCUAGAAGCAGCCACCCUAGUAGAAAGCGUUAAAGCUUAAGCACCCAGCCCCAAGAAUCCUAGCAACACGAUCUUACACCCCUACUUUUAUCAGGCCCUUUCAUGCAACCAUGGAAAAGAUACUGCUAACAUGAGUAAUAAGAAAGCAACGCCUUUCUCCUUGCCCCAGUGUAAUCAGAACAGACCCUAACUGAAAAUUAACGCCCCCACCUCAGAGGGCACUGAGAUACAACGCUAAAACUAGCAAACCCCUCAAAUCAUAGCGUUAACCCCACACUGGAGGGCCUAAGGAAAGACACAAAGAAAAAGAAGGAACUCGGCAAACACUAGCCUCGCCUGUUUACCAAAAACACCGCCUCUUGCAGACCAAGUAUAAGAGGUCCCGCCUGCCCAGUGACGAAGUUCAACGGCCGCGGUAUUUUGACCGUGCGAAGGUAGCGUAAUCACUUGUCUUUUAAAUGAAGACCCGUAUGAAUGGCAUAACGAGGGCUAAGCUGUCUCCUUUUUCUAGUCAAUGAAAUUGAUCUGCCCGUGCAGAAGCGGACAUAACCACAUAAGACGAGAAGACCCUAUGGAGCUUUAGACUACGCGGUAGGCUAAGUCAAACACCCUACUUUACAAGGACUGAACCAAGUAGAAACUACCCCGCUGUCUUUGGUUGGGGCGACCGCGGAGCAACAACAAACCCCCGCGCGGAACGGGACCCACCCCGAGGCCAGAGCCACAGCUCUAGCAAGCAGAAUUUCUGACCACCAAGAUCCGGCAAAGCCGAUCAACGGACCCAGUUACCCUAGGGAUAACAGCGCAAUCCCCUUUUAGAGCCCAUAUCGACAAGGGGGUUUACGACCUCGAUGUUGGAUCAGGACUUCCUAAUGGUGCAGCCGCUAUUAAGGGUUC